rnacentral:misc_RNA from 1 species
UUUUGGCGGAUGAAAGCAUUAAGGAGCUUCCUAUGUUUCUCAGAAAAUUUAACAAAUGCAAUGUGUUUUUCAUCAACUUUUGAAACAGGGGCUGAGAUUUUCUGAUGGGCAGCAGAUGUGCUCACAUCUUCAACUUCAGAAACUGCACCAUAGUCAUGACUGGAACCCGACUGUGCAGUAUGCAACUUUUCACACAUUACAAAGAAGGACUCGAUGUAUGGUAAGAUGUUCUGAGAGCCUGCAGGCAGAGGAGGUGUUACACCGGAUGGUUUUGAUGUGGAAGUUCUAGGAAGUAGCAAAUCAGGUACAGAAUCUGAGUAGCUCUCUAUCUUGCUAAUACAAGUGCUCAGCCCCAGCCACAAAGGCUCUAAAGCUCCAU